rnacentral:rRNA from 1 species
GACGAAGGUGGCGAGCGUUGUUCGGAAUCACUGGGCAUAAAGCGCACGUAGGCGGCUAAGUCAGUCGGGUGUGAAAGCCCUCGGCUCAACCGAGGAACUGCGCCCGAUACUGCAUAGCUUGAGGUCCGGAGGGGAGAGUGGAAUUCCCGGUGGAGCGGUGAAAUGCGUAGAGAUCGGGAAGAACAUCGGUGGCGAAGGCGCUCUGCUGGACCAUAACUGACACUCAGGGACGAAAGCUAGGGGAGCGAAUGGG